UACGUAGGGUGCAAGCGUUAAUCGGAAUUACUGGGCGUAAAGCGUGCGCAGGCGGUUAUGCAAGACAGAGGUGAAAUCCCCGGGCUCAACCUGGGAACUGCCUUUGUGACUGCAUAGCUAGAGUACGGUAGAGGGGGAAUGGAAUUCCGCGUGUAGCAGUGAAAUGCGUAGAUAUGCGGAGGAACACCGAUGGCGAAGGCAAUCCCCUGGACCUGUACUGACGCUCAUGCACGAAAGCGUGGGGAGCAAACAGG
rnacentral:rRNA from 1 species